GGGAACUACGAGCCAAGCUUAAAACCCAAAGGACUUGACGGUACCCCAUAUCCCCCUAGAGGAGCCUGUCCUAUAAUCGAUAACCCCCGUUUAACCUCACCAUUUCUAGCAACUCAGCCUGUAUACCUCCGUCGUCAGCUUACCACGUGAGCGCUAGUGAGCUUAAUGUUUUUUCAACUAAACGUCAGGUCAAGGUGCAACACAUGAAAUGGGAAGAGAUGGGCUACACUUUCUAAAAUAGAUCACACGGAAGACUAACUAUGAAAUCUAGUCAGAAGGC
rnacentral:rRNA from 1 species